rnacentral:rRNA from 1 species
UACGAAGGGGGCUAGCGUUGCUCGGAAUCACUGGGCGUAAAGCGCACGUAGGCGGGCAUCUAAGUCGGUGGUGAAAUCCUGGAGCUCAACUCCAGAACUGCCUUUGAUACUGGCGACCUAGAGUUCGGAAGAGGUUAGUGGAAUUCCCAGUGUAGAGGUGAAAUUCGUAGAUAUUGGGAAGAACACCAGUGGCGAAGGCGGCUAACUGGUCCGAUACUGACGCUGAGGUGCGAAAGCGUGGGGAGCAAACAGG